GACGAACGCUGGCGGCGUGCUUAACACAUGCAAGUCGAACGGAAAGGCCCCCUUGUGGGGUACUCGAGUGGCGAACGGGUGAGUAACACGUGAGUAACCUACCCUUGACUUUGGGAUAACUUCAGGAAACUGGGGCUAAUACCGGAUAGGAGCUCCUGCUGCAUGGUGGGGGUUGGAAAGUUUCGGCGGUUGGGGAUGGACUCGCGGCUUAUCAGCUUGUUGGUGGGGUAGUGGCUCACCAAGGCUUUGACGGGUAGCCGGCCUGAGAGGGUGACCGGCCACAUUGGUACUGAGAUACGGCCCAGACUCCUACGGGAGGCAGCAGUGGGGAAUAUUGCACAAUGGGCGGAAGCCUGAUGCAGCAACGCCGCGUGCGGGAUGACGGCCUUCGGGUUGUAAACCGCUUUCGCCUGUGACGAAGCGUGAGUGACGGUAAUGGGUAAAGAAGCACCGGCUAACUACGUG
rnacentral:rRNA from 1 species